GGUCAAGCGAACAAGUGCAUGUGGUGGA
rnacentral:rRNA from 1 species